rnacentral:rRNA from 1 species
UACGUAGGGGGCUAGCGUUGUCCGGAAUCAUUGGGCGUAAAGCGCGUGUAGGCGGCCCGGUAAGUCCGCUGUGAAAGUCGGGGGCUCAACCCUCGGAUGCCGGUGGAUACUGUCGGGCUCGAGUACGGAAGAGGCGAGUGGAAUUCCUGGUGUAGCGGUGAAAUGCGCAGAUAUCAGGAGGAACACCAAUUGCGAAGGCAGCUCGCUGGGACGUAACUGACACUGAGGCGCGAAAGCGUGGGGAGCGAACAGG